UACGUAGGGGGCAAGCGUUGUCCGGAUUUAUUGGGCGUAAAGAGCGUGUAGGCGGUCAGGUAGGUCCGUUGUGAAAACUCGAGGCUCAACCUCGAGACGCCGAUGGAAACCAUCUGACUAGAGUCCGGAAGAGGAGAGUGGAAUUCCUGGUGUAGCGGUGGAAUGCGCAGAUAUCAGGAGGAACACCGAGUGGCGAAGGCAGGGUCUCUGGGCCGCAACUGAUGCGUGAGGAGCGAAAGCUGGGGAGCAACAGGAUUAGAACCUACGUCAGAUC
rnacentral:rRNA from 1 species